rnacentral:tRNA from 1 species
GACGGCGUACCCAAGUGGCUUAAGGGGGCAGCCUGCAAAGCUGCUAUUCGUGCGUUCAAAUCGCACCGCCGUCU